rnacentral:rRNA from 1 species
UACGUAGGUGGCGAGCGUUGUCCGGAUUUACUGGGCGUACAGGGCGUGCAGGCGGUUUGGUAAGUGCAGGGUGAAAGCUCCCGGCUCAACUGGGAGAGGUCCUUGCAUACUGGCGAACUCGAGGGAGGCAGAGGAAAGUGGAAUUCCCGGUGUAGUGGUGAUAUGCGUAGAUAUCGGGAGGAACACCUGUGGCGAAGGCGGCUUUCUGGGCCUUACCUGACGCUGAGACGCGAAAGCGUGGGGAGCGAACCGG